AGCCGGGUCCUGCGCAAGGGAAGGCCGCGAACCCCGCCAGGUCCGGAAGGAAGCAACGGUACCGGCUGUAUCCCUGUGCCGCAGGGGUGCCUGGCUAUC
rnacentral:SRP_RNA from 1 species